UAUGUCCAUAUCACAUUGAAAUAGUGGUUGCCAUACAAUUACUGAAGUUAAGCAAUGUUGAGCCUGGCCAGUACCUAGAUAGGUGACUACUUGGGAAUACCAGGUGCUGUAAG